rnacentral:misc_RNA from 1 species
GCCAAAUCAGGCUGCUCACUCUGUGAGUAACCAGAAAUCAUAGAGCUCCAAGAGAAAACAUCUCUUGCAGGCAUUUGAUCAAAUAAGUUUCUAGCCUCAUCAAUUUUUCUGUUUCUAACAAGUCCAGCAAUAAGGGCAUUCCAACAUGCAACAUGGUCCUUGUUUCCUACUUCAAACUGUAAACGAGCAAGAUCCACUUCCCCGCAAGCUGCAUAGAAGUGAAUUAUUGUUGCCUGAAUAAAGUCCAA